rnacentral:rRNA from 1 species
UAUUGCACAAUGGGCGAAAGCUUGAUGCAGCCAUGCCGCGUGUAUGAAGAAGGCCUUCGGGUUGUAAAGUACUUUCAGUUGUGAGGAAGGGGGUGUCGUUAAUAGCGGCAUCUCUUGACGUUAGCAACAGAAGAAGCACCGGCUAACUCCGUGCCAGCAGCCGCGGUAAUACGGAGGGUGCGAGCGUUAAUCGGAAUUACUGGGCGUAAAGCGCAUGCAGGUGGUUCAUUAAGUCAGAUGUGAAAGCCCGGGGCUCAACCUCGGAACUGCAUUUGAAACUGGUGAACUAGAGUACUGUAGAGGGGGGUAGAAUUUCAGGUGUAGCGGUGAAAUGCGUAGAGAUCUGAAGGAAUACCAGUGGCGAAGGCGGCCCCCUGGACAGAUACUGACACUCAGAUGCGAAAGCGUGGGGAGCAAACAGGAUUAGAUACCCUGGUAGUCCACGCCGUAAACGAUGUCUACUUGGAGGUUGUGGCCUUGAGCCGUGGCUUUCGGAGCUAACGCGUUAAGUAGACCGCCUGGGGAGUACGGUCGCAAGAUUAAAACUCAAAUGAAUUGACGGGGGCCCGCACAAGCGGUGGAGCAUGUGGUUUAAUUCGAUGCAACGCGAAGAACCUUACCUACUCUUGACAUCCAGAGAAGCCAGC